rnacentral:tRNA from 1 species
GCUUUGGUCUAAUGGUCAGGAUAUCUGCUUUGCAAGCAGAUGGUCCGGGUUCAAUUCCCUGACGAUGCA